rnacentral:rRNA from 1 species
GUAGCGAAAGCGAGUCUGAAUAGGGCGUUUAGUAUUUGGUCGUAGACCCGAAACCAGGUGAUCUACCCUUGGUCAGGUUGAAGUUCAGGUAACACUGAAUGGAGGACCGAACCGACUUACGUUGAAAAGUGAGCGGAUGAACUGAGGGUAGCGGAGAAAUUCCAAUCGAACCUGGAGAUAGCUGGUUCUCUCCGAAAUAGCUUUAGGGCUAGCCUCAAGUGAUGAUUAUUGGAGGUAGAGCACUGUUUGGACGAGGGGCCCCUCUCGGGUUACCGAAUUCAGACAAACUCCGAAUGCCAAUUAAUUUAACUUGGGAGUCAGAACAUGGGUGAUAAGGUCCGUGUUCGAAAGGGAAACAGCCCAGACCACCAGCUAAGGUCCCAAAAUAUAUGUUAAGUGGAAAAGGAUGUGGCGUUGCCCAGACAACUAGGAUGUUGGCUUAGAAGCAGCCAUCAUUUAAAGAGUGCGUAAUAGCUCACUAGUCGAGUGACACUGCGCCGAAAAUGUACCGGGGCUAAACAUAUUACCGAAGCUGUGGAUUGUCCUUUGGACAAUGGUAGGAGAGCGUUCUAAGGGCGUUGAAGCAUGAUCGUAAGGACAUGUGGAGCGCUUAGAAGUGAGAAUGCCGGUGUGAGUAGCGAAAGACGGGUGAGAAUCCCGUCCACCGAUUGACUAAGGUUUCCAGAGGAAGGCUCGUCCGCUCUGGGUUAGUCGGGUCCUAAGCUGAGGCCGACAGGCGUAGGCGAUGGAUAACAGGUUGAUAUUCCUGUACCACCUAUAAUCGUUUUAAUCGAUGGGGGGGACGCAGUAGGAUAGGCGAAGCGUGCGAUUGGAUUGCACGUCUAAGCAGUAAGGCUGAGUAUUAGGCAAAUCCGGUACUCAUUAAGGCUGAGCUGUGAUGGGGAGAAGACAUUGUGUCUUCGAGUCGUUGAUUUCACACUGCCGAGAAAAGCCUCUAGAUAGAAAAUAGGUGCCCGUACCGCAAACCGACACAGGUAGUCAAGAUGAGAAUUCUAAGGUGAGCGAGCGAACUCUCGUUAAGGAACUCGGCAAAAUGACCCCGUAACUUCGGGAGAAGGGGUGCUCUUUAGGGUUAACGCCCAGAAGAGCCGCAGUGAAUAGGCCCAAGCGACUGUUUAUCAAAAACACAGGUCUCUGCUAAACCGUAAGGUGAUGUAUAGGGGCUGACGCCUGCCCGGUGCUGGAAGGUUAAGAGGAGUGGUUAGCUUCUGCGAAGCUACGAAUCGAAGCCCCAGUAAACGGCGGCCGUAACUAUAACGGUCCUAAGGUAGCGAAAUUCCUUGUCGGGUAAGUUCCGACCCGCACGAAAGGCGUAACGAU